UGAGUGGCGGACGGGUGAGUAACGCGUGGGCAACCUGGCCUGUACAGGGGGAUAACACUUAGAAAUAGGUGCUAAUACCGCAUAACGGGAGAAGCCGCAUGGCUUUUUCCUGAAAACUCCGGUGGUACAGGAUGGGCCCGCGUCUGAUUAGCCAGUUGGCAGGGUAACGGCCUACCAGGGCGACGAUCAGUAGCCGGACUGAGAGGUUGACCGGCCACAUUGGGACUGAGACACGGCCCAGACUCCUACGGAAGGCAGCAG
rnacentral:rRNA from 1 species